rnacentral:lncRNA from 1 species
UGCCCAUUAUAUUCAUUGUGUUGGAUGGUAACCGGAUUUUGAUUCUAUGGUUAAUGUACAUUGAUGAACUGUGUUUAGCCCAUUUGGCUAUGUUCAAUCAUUUUUUAAAAAAGGUUUCGGAUUAUAUGCAUUGUGCUGGAUUGUAACCAGAUAUUGAAUUUAUGAUUAUUUUACAUCGAUGAACUGUGUUUAGCCCAUUUGGCUAUGUUCGAUAAUUUCAAAAAAAAAAAGUUUGCCGAUUUUAUCCAUUGUGUUGGAUGGUAACCAGAUAUUGAAUUUAUGAUUAUUUUACAUCGAUGAACUGUGUUUAGCCCAUUUGGCUAUGUUCGAUCAUUUAAUAAUAAUAAUAAUAAAAAAAUAUAUAUAUAAAAAAUAGGUUGCCGAUUAAAUCCCUUUUGUUGGAUGGUAACCGGAUUUUGAUUCUAUGGUUAAUGUACAUUGAUGAACUGUGUUUAGCCCAUUUGGCUAUGUUCAAUCAUUUUUUAAAAAAGGUUUCGGAUUAUAUGCAUUGUGUUGGAUUGUAAUCGGAUUUUGAAUUUAUGAUUAAUGUAUUUUGAUGAACUUAUUUUAGCCGAUUAUAUCCAUUGUGUUGGAUGGUAACCGGAUUUUGAAUUUAUGAUAAAUGUAUAUUGAUGAACUGUGUUUAGCCCAUUUGGCUAUGUUCAAUCAUAAAAGAAUAGGUUGCCGAUUAUAUCCAUUGUGUUUGAUGGUAACCGGAUUUUGAAUUUAACAUUAAUGUAUAUUGAGGAGCUGUGUUUAGCCCAUUUGACUCUGUUCUAUCAUUAACAAAAUGGUUGCCGAUUAUAUAAUUUGUGUUUGGUGGUAAACGGAUGGUUGCCGAUUAUAUACUUUGUGUUGGGAUGGUAAUCGGAUUUUUAAUUUAUGAUUAAUGUAUAUUGAUGAACUGUUUUUGCCCAUUUGGCUAUGUUCUAUCAUAAAAAAGAGAGUUGCUCAUUAUAUUCAUUGUGUUGUAUGGUAAUUAGAUUUUGAAUUCAUGACUAAUGUAUAUUGAUGAACUUAUUUUAGCCCAUUUGUUAAAUGAUUGACCAUUUCAGUCUUAUUGUCUGAAUGCCCACUAUAGACAUUGUGUAUGCUGGUGACAUGAAUUCGAAUUGAUGUGCUGCCAAAUUGCAAAUUUGUCAUAUUUUCCUUUCUAUCUCAAAGUUUAUAACGGGCUAGCGACAAAAUUUACAUAUAUUAAUAUACUUUUUGCCAAAUUUUCAAGUAUACAAUUGAAUAUUUCUAGACAACGUCAAAAACCCAAGGAGUUCCGCAACACAGUCCAGAUGUUACAGCCACACCGCAACGCUACCCAGCCGUUUCAGCCCCGCAACCGGUGAAUCUGAACCCGCAACAACUUGUGGUUGUGGUGAGCCUUGUUGCAGAACACCAUUGUUCCGUGUUUGCGCAGCGAGGGGACAUUUUAGCUGAUGAUUCGCUGCACUGUCAGACAGUGUUGAAUAAAAUGGUGAGUUGGCUCCGAUGUAGAUCAUUUAUAACGACUUGGGAGACCACGUUUCAGCAAAUGUUUAAAUUACGAUGGUUAAUGGCGAAUUCAUAGAGUAAACAGUAUUGUUACGCUCAGAUCACAUUAAUAACAGUCAAGGUCAGAGUUUUCUUGUUACUGAAGCAGACUGAUAGCUAAAAUUUAAGUCAAAGGCUCCGGCCAAAAGAUAGAUUCAUUGCCGGUCCUUAAUGUACAUGAGUAUCUAUAUAUACCGUGCGCAAGAAAAUGUUAUGACUAGUUUUCAAGGUAUUUGUACCAAAUUUGCUUGUGUAUACGAACAUAGCUGUACGCGUUGUCAUGGGAAGCACUCUAGGAAGUAUUUAUUUAUUUUUCAGAAUCACUAGUAGCUACCAAUCAAUAUCGUUCUAGGUACUCGUCACUUGGACCUCGUGGAAUUUUCAGAUAGCCAAAACCGGCAUCUCAAAGAGGGUCACUUAAACCUCCAUUCCCUCACCAAAACCCUUAUUGACUUAGCAGUAUUACAAGUCUAUCUUUCUUUAUAUCCAAAUAAAUAAGUGGCAGCUGAAUUUUUAGAGGGUUCUAACAAAGGGUUUCGAUUACAAAACCAGCGCCCUAGAGUCCAAACUUCAGUCAAACUUUAAUUUCCGUUAGGCAAAACUCUGCUGUAGCUAAUGAGAAAGUUACUAGUAUGUAGGAAGAGCAGUUAAGCAGAAUUGCGGAUUAUACACCAUCUUUCCUUCCCGAAGGGAACCCCGCAGGGUUCAAGUUUGAAUGAUUUUAUUGAUACGUCUUCUUCCUCAGUUCAGUACACUUCUUUAGACAGAGUGACGGAGCUAUUGUUUCAUUAGUGCAAUAUUGCGAAAUGGCUAAAGUUGGCAUCAAAUCUGCCUUUCGCCUUUUGAGGUUCAUAAUUAUGAUUUUGAAAUUAUUAGCCUUCAAAUAAGGAGGGGAUUAUUUUACUGACAAGACGCUACCUAUGAGUGUUCAAUCUUUUGCUGCCAUUGGGAAAAGUUUGCUAAUUUAUUACAAUAGCUGGUCCGGUACAAGAGGAAAUCCGAAAGGCUGUUUUAUUACUUGGAUAAUUAUGUUUGUUUGGCUCGCUCUAAUUCAGGGAAUGUGUGACCAAUUUGUUCUGUUUUAUAGAUAAAUGCCUUAACAUACCCGUAGCAAAAAAAAAAAAAAAAAAAAAAAUUGCAAGCCUAAGUUGAUCUUUUAAUUUCUGUAACAGAGCCAUUCCCUUUCUAGACCAUUUAGUAGUGGUUUCUAUGCGAUCGUGUCAGCUUUACUUGCAUGCACAGACGACUUGCACCUUACUGCACUUUUAGCCCAUCUUUUAAUCAAGAAUGUAGCUCGUCAUACAACAUGUCUGUAUAUCUCGGACAUUUCUUCUAUUGUAAAAUAAAUAGUCUUGAAUAUCUUACUUAAAGAUUUAUGUUACGUUGAAUGCUUAUCAGUUUUGAUAGGUUGCAUCGGACAAUUGACAUCAGGCAACCUAUAACGCUUGAUUUACUUCGUAAAUUUAUACAGGUGACAAAUACUGUUUGCUCUUCUAUAUUUUAGGCAUUACAGUUUUCAGCAGUAAUUUCCCUGACCAUUUUGAUUUUUAAGGAUAUGUGAGCUUGUACACACGAACUCAAACUCCUCGAAUAUAAGUGCUAAAGGUCACGCAUUAUGUGAGGGAGACGUUAGUAUUGUAAGUAUUGGUGUACUUCGCAUA